GCAUUGGAUCAGGCUCUUGCUUCUCCACUGCUGUGCCCAGGGAUGCAGAAGAGGAAGGCAGGCAGCCUGCCCGUCCCAGGAGCAGCACCAUCUUCAAAGCUUUUUUGGGAGCGCAGAUGUCAGGACAGGUUUGCAUUGACCAGCUGGAAAUCAAGACGGAUGCUGCACCACAAAAUCCC